CACGCAGGCGGUCUGUCAAGUCGGAUGUGAAAUCCCCGGGCUCAACCUGGGAACUGCAUUCGAAACUAUGUAGCUAGAGUUCUGUAGAGGGGGGUAGAAUUCCAGGUGUAGCGGUGAAAUGCGUAGAGAUCUGGAGGAAUACCGAUUGCGAAGGCAGCCCCCUGGACAGUGACUGACGCUCAUAUGCGAAAGCGUGGGUAGCGAACAGGAUUAGAUACCCCAGUA
rnacentral:rRNA from 1 species